rnacentral:lncRNA from 1 species
AACUGCUCUUUCCAUGCACAUCUGUCUAGAAAUAAGCUGUGCUUGAGCCUACAUGCUAGCCUCAUCACCAAACUACAGCAACAAUAAUGAUGGUCAUGCCCUCAAGUGUUGUAUCUAAAGAUUCAUUUAUUCCUGAUGCUGGAUCAUUUUCAUCAUGUCAUAUAAAUAAAUAUUUUUUUGUAUUCAUAUAUUUUAAAUGUUAAUCUAAGAACUUUGUGCUGAUGUAUGUAUGAUUAUGUGUCGGGGCAUGAUUGUUUUUUUGUAACUUGGCAGCCGUGUUGCUUUGAGAACUGUAUAUUAAGAGUUAAUUGUUUACAAGGAGGUUUGGCACUGUGGCAACAGUGAUGGCUUCUUUCUAAGGGUAGCUUUAUUCCUUAGAAGAAGGACAAGAAAAGGGGAUGGGAUGUUUCUCCCAGAGUAAAUCUUUUGAGGGAGACUCUUGUUUUAGAAAUCUUGGCCGUUGGAGAGUGAGCCAUGACUUGACUGUGUGUAAACCAAACUCUAGCUAAAUGCUGACCCAGCAUUACAUCCUAGAGUCAGGACAUGACAAAGAAUGAUCUCAGCACAGUGUAACUGCUGAUGAAGCACAGGAGUCUUUGGUCAGCAACAGACCCAUCAGGGCUCAAAUCCAUACUGACAUCCCCUGCAUUCCCUUCAGGUUUGAGAGUGGAGAAGAUGAUGAUGUUGACAUCUGUGGCCUGAUUCAGUAAAAAAAAAAACAAGAGACUGCAAAUUUCACUUUGAUCAUGGAUCCUUAUUCCCUUUCUGGCAGUGACUCAGCUAGGCAUGAUGUAAUUGGAAGGUUUAAUAAACACUAAAGCCAUUUUACUUCCAGCAUAUCCAGAUGGCAUAUCAACACCAAUUUUAAUAUCAUAAAAAGCCCAAAGAAACAAUUUCAUUAGUACAAUUUCAUAUUGUAUUAUGGGUUAAAUGUAAGGGCUUUUUAAAUGGAAGCAGAAUCGAGUUGAAUAAUAACCAAGCUAAUAAUAUCAGUUUCAUGAAGAUGGACAAAAAAAAAAAGGAUUCUGAAUGUAAUUCAUAACAAAGCUUUUUAGGGCUAGUGACAAAGCAAGUGUUAAUUACAG